UACGUAGGGUGCAAGCGUUAUCCGGAAUUAUUGGGCGUAAAGAGCUCGUAGGCGGUCUGUCGCGUCUGCUGUGAAAACUGGGGGCUCAACCCCCAGCCUGCAGUGGGUACGGGCAGACCUAGAGUGCGGUAGGGGAGAUUGGAACUCCUGGUGUAGCGGUGGAAUGCGCAGAUAUCAGGAAGAACACCGAUGGCGAAGGCAGAUCUCUGGGCCGUAACUGACGCUGAGGAGCGAAAGCAUGGGGAGCGAACAGG
rnacentral:rRNA from 1 species